UCUGGCCUGCCAGGACACACCAGUUACCAGGUUCAGAUCACACACACUGUACUGGAGGACACUGCUGCAGGGGACGGUCUGACUGACCCAGAUAAACACCAAUCAGAGAGGAGACUGUGCUGCAGGGGACGGUCUGAUUGACCCAGAUAAACACCAGUCAGAGAGAACACUGUGGUGAAGAACAGGGGGAAGGGGUGAUGAGGGAAGAGGAAGGAGAGGAGUGGGUGGAGGACAAGGUUUCCACUGGAGCCAGAGAGAGAGAGAGCCCAGAACAGAGAAGAGCUAAUGGUUAGAGGUCAAUUUGUUUUGUUUUGUUUGUUUGAGUGCAUGGAGAAGAGACAUUAAUUCUGUUGAACCAGAGAGAGAAGACUGGUGGAUCGAGGCAGGUUUAAACAUCCAGUUCAACCAGAGAGAGAAGACUGGUGGAUCGAGGCAGGUUUAAACAUCCUGUUCAACCAGAGAGAGAAGACUGGUGGAUCGAGGCAGGUUUAAACAUCCUGUUCAACCAGAGAGAGAAGACUGGUGGAUCGAGGCAGGUUUAAACAUCCUGUUCAACCAGAGAGAGAAGACUGGUGGAUCGAGGCAGGUUUAAACAUCCUGUUCAACCAGAGAGAGAAGACUGGUGGAUCGAGGCAGGUUUAAACAUCCUGUUCAACCAGAGAGAGAAGACUGGUGGAUCGAGGCAGGUUUAAACAUCCUGUUCAACCAGAGAGAGAAGACUGGUGGAUCGAGGCAGGUUUAAACAUCCUGUUCAACCAGAGAGAGAAGACUGGUGGAUCGAGGCAGGUUUAAACAUCCUGUUCAACCAGAGAGAGAAGACUGGUGGAUCGAGGCAGGUUUAAACAUCCUGUUCAACCAGAGAGAGAAGACUGGUGGACCGAGGCAGGUUUAAACAUCCUGUUCAACCAGAGAGAGAAGACUGGUGGAUCGAGGCAGGUUUAAACAUCCAGUUCAACCAGAGAGAGAAGACUGGUGGAUCGAGGCAGGUUUAAACAUCCUGUUCAACCAGAGAGAGAAGACUGGUGGAUCGAGGCAGGUUUAAACAUCCUGUUCAACCAGAGAGAGAUGACUGGUGGUCCGAGGCAGGUUUAAACAUCCUGUUCAACCAGAGAGAGAAGACUGGUGGAUCGAGGCAGGUUUAAACAUCCUGUUCAACCAGAGAGAGAAGACUGGUGGAUCGAGGCAGGUUUAAACAUCCAGUUCAACCAGAGAGAAGACUGGUGGAUUACUUGUGUUUCUCUCAGUCACCUUCCUCUAGACCAGGGGUGUCAAACUCAUUCCAUGAAGGGCCUAGUGUCUGCUAGUUUUUCCUUUCAAUUAAGACCUAGACCACCAGGUGAGGGGAGUUCCUUACCAAUUAGUGACAUUAAUUAAUCAAUCAAGUCCAAUGGAGGAGUGAAAACCUGCAGGCACUCGGUCCUCCAUAGAAUGAGUUUGACACCUGUGCUCUAGAUCCUUCAAACGCAACUCUGGACCACCAAGCCAGUUCCACUGCAUUGUUUCAUUGUUCCCCUCUAACCAGGGACUGAUUUAGACCUGGGACACCAGG